GUUUAAGCAAUAAACAGUGAAACUGCGAAUGGCUCAUUAAAUCAGUCAUAGUUUAUUUGAUGGUACCUUACUACAAGGAUAACUGUGGUAAUUCUAGAGCUAAUACAUGCUGAAAAAUCCCGACUUCUGGAAGGGAUGUAUUUAUUAGAUCCAAAACCAAUGGCCUUCGGGUCCCUAUGGUGAAUCAUGAUAACUGCUCGAAUCGCAUGGCCUUGCGCCGGCGAUGCUUCAUUCAAAUAUCUGCCCUAUCAACUUUCGAUGGUAGGAUAGAGGCCUACCAUGGUGAUGACGGGUAACGGGGAAUAAGGGUUCGAUUCCGGAGAGAGGGCCUGAGAAACGGCCCUCAGGUCUAAGGACACGCAGCAGGCGCGCAAAUUAUCCCCUGGCAACACUUUGCCGAGAUAGUGACAAUAAAUAACAAUGCAGGGCUCUUACGGGUCUUGCAAUUGGAAUGAGUACAAUUUAAAUCCCUUAACGAGGAUCAAUUGGAGGGCAAGUCUGGUGCCAGCAGCCGCGGUAAUUCCAGCUCCAAUAGCGUAUAUUAAAAUUGUUGCCGUUAAAAAGCUCGUAGUCGAACUUCGGGCUCUGUCAGCCGGUCCGCCUUCUUGGUGUGUACUUGUUUGACGGAGCCUUACCUCCUGGUGAACGGCGAUGUCCUUUACUGGGUGUCGUCGCAAACCAGGACUUUUACUUUGAAAAAAUUAGAGUGUUCAAAGCAGGCCUUUGCCCGAAUACAUUAGCAUGGAAUAAUAAAAUAGGACGCGCGUUCCCAUUUUGUUGGUUUCUGAGAUCGCCGUAAUGAUUAAUAGGGAUAGUUGGGGGCAUUUGUAUUCCGUCGUCAGAGGUGAAAUUCUUGGAUUGCCGGAAGACAAACUACUGCGAAAGCAUUUGCCAAGGAUGUUUUCAUUGAUCAAGAACGAAGGAAGGGGGAUCGAAAACGAUUAGAUACCGUUGUAGUCUCUUCUGUAAACUAUGCCAAUUGGGGAUCGGUACAGGAUUUUUAAUGACUGUAUCGGCACCCGAAGAGAAAUCUUUAAAUGAGGUUCGGGGGGGAGUAUGGUCGCAAGGCUGAAACUUAAAGGAAUUGACGGAAGGGCACCACCAGGUGUGGAGCCUGCGGCUUAAUUUGACUCAACACGGGGAAACUCACCAGGUCCAGACACAAUAAGGAUUGACAGAUUGAUAGCUCUUUCUUGAUCUUGUGGUUGGUGGUGCAUGGCCGUUCUUAGUUGGUGGAGUGAUUUGUCUGGUUAAUUCCGAUAACGAACGAGACCUUAACCUGCUAAAUAGACCAGCCGGCUUUGGCUAGCUGCUGUCUUCUUAGAGGGACUAUCAGCGUUUAGCUGAUGGAAGUUUGAGGCAAUAACAGGUCU
rnacentral:rRNA from 1 species